UUCUCUGCAAGUGGCCGUGGCGGUUUGGCUCUUGCCUCCGUCUGCCCUACGCUGGGUGUCAGGGCCAACCACUCUGACUCCUGGUGGUGUUUACUUUCUCUGGAGAUUUGGAGAUGAGCUCAGACGCUCAGCCUGCGACUGAAAGUGACGGCCGGCUUUUCCUUAUCACCACUUCCCACCUCCCGCCCCCUCUUUUCUUCUGGCCUGUCUCGGAGGUACAGAGAUUUCUCUUUGAAGAGAAGGUUCUGGAGAAAUCAGACAGAUACAGAAAGAAUGCAACCAAUCCCUGCCUUAUGCUGAUGACCAGGAGGAUGGACGCAUGGCGGAUUACACUGGGGUGGCAUUUGGGACACAGACCACAGAAGGGAAGCAGCACCCUCAGCACACCCUGUCGGGGUCCAUGCUGUCAAAACAACUCGUCACUCUGGAUGUGACCUGGGUCACUUGACUGAGGUUGUGUCUGUCAGAUGUCUCCACCCUGAAGGGGUUUUGCCCAGGACCUGGGGAUGUGUGUCUGCAUGUCCCCCCGUCCGGGAGACCUGCCCCCAAGGCUACCCUCUGUGGCAGGUGCUAUGCGUCCCACCUGAGAGAGGAGGAUGAGCUUCUGGGAAUGGCAGAGCCAGACGUCAGCCUGAAGCUAACCCGCAGGACCCUUCUGGGACAGAGGAGGCAGGGCCCAAGCGAGGGGGAAAGGAAGGGAGGGCACCCUGCAUCUUCCUGCCUGAGUGACAGUGGAGGAGGCCCUGAGUGGGUGGACUGGCCCGUGAGGCUGUCCUGGAGGGGAGAGGGUGCCAGGGAGGGAGGGGAGCAGUCGCGUGGACACCCGGACCUGCCGAGGAGCUGGGGAAAAGAUGCGUGGGGUGGGCAUGACACCUGCAUGAGACAGGCUGCUCCUUCCCCGGGCCUGGGACUCACUCCUGCUUCUAAAAGAGAGAAGGUGCUGGGCCCAGGGUGAAGCUCCCAGAGCCAGAUUCCUGGCCGGGGAGGUGGGGUUUGCCCUGGGAGCAGAUGCUCCAUGUGAGCCCCCGGGUCGCCCUCUGACUCCCCACCGCACCCCCUCCCCCCGGGCACACAGAUGUGGGGGCCAGUGUCUCUACACUCAUGGGUAAGGGGCCUAAUGGGGUCUGCAGCGGAAACCCUUCUGCCGUCAGCUCCGUCCCAGGGAGACACAUAUGCACAAACACAGCGUCAUGCACACACACACACACACACACACACCCAUGCAUAUACAGAAACACACGCCUCUCUUCAGCUUGGGGCCCUCAGUCCCCUACUCUGACCUUUACAGUGGGAGGAAACAGAAAAACCACCAAAGUCUGGCAUCCGUGGCAUUUAGCUGAUUGUGAAAACUGCACACUCACCCCCGGAAGAGAGUUUCUCAUGUUUAUCCUUCGGAUAGCAGUGGAUUGAAAUCAGUCCAAUCCCACACGGAAUUCAUUCUGGCGAAUUUCACGUCUCCCCAGACGUGGGGCCCUGCCCAGGGUGGACGUUUGGCCUGGGAGUCCUUUUGUCCUUCUCCAAGGAUGUUUUUGGAUCUGACUGCCCUUUUCUCCUGUGGGGUUUUCCCUCCUGAAAGAAGGGAGGAAUCGCUCGGUGUGGGACAAGAAAUAGGACCCUUGCUUCCCAACAUACACAGAACCAGCUACACCUGGACCCAUGGCAUAAAUUCAGGGGUGCUCUCAAAAACUUUGCCUGGAACGUGUCAGUGAGUUAUUCGCGACGUUGGAGUAAGCAUUUCUUAAAUACUGUGAAGAGCUCUAACUAUAAAAUAAGAGACUAAUACUUUGGAAUACAUUAAAAACCCAGUCAAUGAAAAUCACCUUAAAGAAAGUGAGGGGGAAGUUCAAGAUGAGACGCUCACACCAGAAGGAGCGGACACAAAGUGAUAGCCGCACUUGCGUCGGCCCUGGGGAGCCACGGUUUACCCCUGGCCUCUCAGCAAUCAGGGCGUCGGGCAGAGAGGGUGUUGCAGGCCCCAAGGCGGCAAGGUCCCUGGGCGCAGAGGGACCCUGGGAUCCGCCUCCUCACGGCUCCCCCCCCCAUGUCCUCGACUGCCCUUCCCGGGACCCAAGCCAGCUAGACACAAGCAGGUGGGUGAGUCAGGCUGUGGGUCUGCGUUGCGGGUGCCUGUGUUCCCAGCCUUGGGGGCGGGUGGGGGCAGGAGGAAGUGGCUCUGAGUCAGAGGUCCUAUGGGGCUCAUUUUCCAAGACACUGACCUCCCUGUGGCCCCAAAAGUAGGCCAGACAGAGAAAGGCGUGGGCUGUGGCUUCUGACUGUCCCGUGAGCAAGUGGACACAGACACAGACAGACACACAGGACAGGGACCUAGAUACCCACAGACACACACACAGAGAUACAUGCAGACCCACACAGACACGCAGACACAG